CGAAAUGUUUGGUGAAGAAAAUAUGGCCCGCGGACUAUGAUAAGUUGGACAGCGCUGUACAGAUGCUGCUUGACAUAGAUAUUUCACACAUACAACAGCCAAUGCAAGUGAUGCUGAAGAAUAGGAAAAUGUUUACCCAUUAUGUCUUCAAAAUACCUUGCUGUGUCUCCUGUUACUGAUAAGAAGAGGAAAGCUAUUAUUCUCAAUGAGAAACUUAAGAUAUCUAAACAUUGCAAUUAUGACAAUGGCUUGUGAGUUUGCGCUAUCAAAAUCAACAGUAGCCAAACUCACACUAUGUAUUGUACAAUAUGUAAUGUUAUGUACUGUAUAGACUAUUUUUUAUUUAUUUAGUUUUAUUUUCAACUUGUAAUGUGUUUUUGGAACAUAACAUCAUCAUAACUCAAGGAGAUUAUAUACAACUGUACAAUAUAUGCUAUACAAUUAUGAAGAAAAAACAUCUUUAAAUCAUUAUUGUAAUUAUACAGUACUCACAAAAUAUAAUUUUAAAAAUUAUGUUAAACUUGAUAUUAAUUUAUUCUAUAAAAAUCAGAUUUUUAAAUUAUUUACCUAGGACUUUAAAUCUAUCUAAUUUCAUUGUAUAUUUUUCAUGUUAAAAAAAUAUAUACAAAUACCAAUUUGAUAUAAAAAAAUUAUUAUUAAUGGAAAUAAAGAGAACUCAAAAUAAUAAACAAACUAGUUAAA